UUCAAAAAGCACUUAAGUCUGAAGUAACUUCUAGCAGCUGCUAGUCUUCAUUUGAAGUAUUUCUACAAUAUUCUCAUGUUUAUGUUUAAACAACUGUUAUUUGUCAUAUCCAAAGAUUUAGACUGUAUAUAAAAACUUAAUUUAUCC